AUUGAACGCUGGCGGCAUGCCUUACACAUGCAAGUCGAACGGUAACGGGUCCUUCGGGCUGCCGACGAGUGGCGAACGGGUGAGUAAUAUAUCGGAACGUGCCCAGUAGUGGGGGAUAACUGCUCGAAAGAGCAGCUAAUGCCGCAUACGACCUGAGGGUGAAAGGGGGGGAUCGCAAGACCUCUCGCUAUUGGAGCGGCCGAUAUCAGAUUAGCUAGUUGGUGGGGUAAAGGCCUACCAAGGCAACGAUCUGUAGUUGGUCUGAGAGGACGACCAGCCACACUGGGACUGAGACACGGCCCAGACUCCUACGGGAGGCAGCAGUGGGGAAUUUUGGACAAUGGGCGCAAGCCUGAUCCAGCAAUGCCGCGUGCAGGAAGAAGGCCUUCGGGUUGUAAACUGCUUUUGUCAGGGAAGAAAUCUUCUGGGCUAAUACCCCGGGAGGAUGACGGUACCUGAAGAAUAAGCACCGGCUAACUACGUG
rnacentral:rRNA from 1 species